rnacentral:rRNA from 1 species
AGUGAACGCUGGCGGUAGGCCUAACACAUGCAAGUCGAACGGAAGCACAGUAAGAGCUUGCUCUUAAGGGUGGCGAGUGGCGGACGGGUGAGGAAUACAUAGGAAUCUACUUUUUCGUGGGGGAUAACGUAGGGAAACUUACGCUAAUACCGCAUACGACCUACGGGUGAAAGCAGGGGAUCUUCGGACCUUGCGCGACUGAAUGAGCCGAUGUCGGAUUAGCUAGUUGGCGGGGUAAAGGCCCACCAAGGCGACGAUCCGUAGCUGGUCUGAGAGGAUGAUCAGCCACACUGGAACUGAGACACGGUCCAGACUCCUACGGGAGGCAGCAGUAGGGAAUAUUGCACAAUGGGCGCAAGCCUGAUGCAGCCAUGCCGCGUGAGUGAAGAAGGCCUUCGGGUUGUAAAGCCCUUUUGUUGGGGAAGAAAAGCAGCAGGUUAAUACCCCGCUGUUCUGACGGUACCCAAAGAGUAAGCACCGGCUAACUUCGUG